AACGAACGCUGGCGGCGCGCCUAAUACAUGCAAGUCGAGCGAGAAGACGUAGCAAUACGUUUGUAAAGCGGCGAACGGGUGAGGAAUACAUGGGUAACCUACCCUCGAGUGGGGAAUAACUAGCCGAAAGGUUAGCUAAUACCGCGUACGCUCCUCGGACUUCGGUUCAGGGAGGAAAGCGAUACCGUGGGUAUCGCGCUCUUGGAUGGGCUCAUGUCCUAUCAGCUUGUUGGUGAGGUAACGGCUCACCAAGGCUUCGACGGGUAGCUGGUCUGAGAGGACGAUCAGCCACACUGGCACUGCGACACGGGCCAGACUCCUACGGGAGGCAGCAGUAAGGAAUAUUGCGCAAUGGGCGAAAGCCUGACGCAGCGACGCCGC
rnacentral:rRNA from 1 species